rnacentral:rRNA from 1 species
UACGAAGGGUGCAAGCGUUACUCGGAAUUACUGGGCGUAAAGCGUGCGUAGACGGUUAUGUAAGUCAGAUGUGAAAGCCCCCGGGCUCAACCUGGGAAUUGCAUUUGAGACUGCAUAGCUAGGGUGCGGAAGAGGGAGCGGAAUUCCGGUGUAGCGGUGAAAGUGCUGUAGAUAUCGGAAGGAACACCAGUGGCGAAAGCGGCUUCCGUGG